GAUGAACGCUGGCGACGUGCCUAAUACAUGCAAGUCGAGCGAACAGACGAGGAGCUUGCUCCUCUGACGUUAGCGGCGGACGGGUGAGUAACACGUGGAUAACCUACCUAUAAGACUGGGAUAACUUCGGGAAACCGGAGCUAAUACCGGAUAAUAUAUUGAACCGCAUGGUUCAAUAGUGAAAGACGGUUUUGCUGUCACUUAUAGAUGGAUCCGCGCCGCAUUAGCUAGUUGGUAAGGUAACGGCUUACCAAGGCAACGAUGCGUAGCCGACCUGAGAGGGUGAUCGGCCACACUGGAACUGAGACACGGUCCAGACUCCUACGGGAGGCAGCAGUAGGGAAUCUUCCGCAAUGGGCGAAAGCCUGACGGAGCAACGCCGCGUGUGUGAUGAAGGUCUUCGGAUCGUAAAGCUCUGUUAUUAGGGAGGAACAAAUGUGUAAGUAACUAUGCACGUCUUGACGGUACCUAAUCAGAAAGCCACGGCUAACUACGUG
rnacentral:rRNA from 1 species